rnacentral:rRNA from 1 species
UACGGAGGGUGCAAGCGUUAUCCGGAUUCACUGGGUUUAAAGGGUGCGUAGGCGGAUAGGUAAGUCCGUGGUGAAAUCCUGCAGCUUAACUGCAGAACUGCCAUGGAUACUACCUAUCUUGAAUGUCGUGGAGGUUAGCGGAAUAUGUCAUGUAGCGGUGAAAUGCUUAGAGAUGACAUAGAACACCCAUUGCGAAGGCAGCUAACUACGCGAUAAUUGACGCUGAUGCACGAAAGCGUGGGGAUCAAACAGG